UACGAAGGGGGCUAGCGUUGCUCGGAAUCACUGGGCGUAAAGCGCACGUAGGCGGAUUGUUAAGUCGGGGGUGAAAUCCCAGGGCUCAACCCUGGAACUGCCUCCGAUACUGGCAUUCUGGAGUCCGAGAGAGGUGAGUGGAAUUCCAGGUGUAGCGGUGAAAUGCGUAGAUAUCUGGAGGAACACCGGUGGCGAAGGCGACAUCCUGGACCGGCAUUGACGCUGAGGCGCGAAAGCCAGGGGAGCAAACGGG
rnacentral:rRNA from 1 species